GCACGCAGGGCACGCACGGCCGGCGGGGCCGGCGCUCCAGGCCGUUGGUCUCCCCGCCCGGAUCGCGAGCGUUGGGAGUAAACACCCCGCAUGGAGAUCCAGGCGUGUUCGCCGCGGAGGCGCCGUUAUCCCGGACCGGGCGGACCCGAGCGUGAGGCCGCCGCAGACUGCAGUUGUGGGUCUUACAGAGGAAAACCACAGAAGUAAAUCAUCAUUGUUUAUCACAUUAUAUCAAAGCUUGGAUUCUGCUGCAAAGUAGCGAAGACAGGUGAAACGACCAGUAUUGCCACAGAGAGAAAAGAGGCAAAGUCCACCUAAGUGAGGAGAUUCCUGACCCUGAUUGGAUCAUGUUUAUCAAGCACUAUUUACAAUAGCCAGGACAUGGAAGCAACCUAAUGUCCAUCAACAGAGGAAUGGAUAAAGAAGAGGUGGGACAUAUAUACAAUGGAAUAUUACUCAACCAUAAAAAAGAACAAAAUAAUGCCAUUUGCAGCAACAUGGAUGGACCUAGAGACUGUCACACUGAGUGAAGUAAGUCGGACAGAGAAAGACAAAUAUCAUAUGAUAUUGCUUACAUGUGGAAUUUAAAAAAAAAUGGUACAAAUGAACUUAUUUACAAAACUGAAAUAGAGUCACAGGUAUAGAAAACAAACUUAUGGUUACCAAGGGGGAAAAGGGGGGAGGGAUAAAUUGGGAGAUUGGGAUUGACAUAUACACUCUACUGUAUUUAAAAUAGAUAACUAAUAAGAACCUACUGUAUAGCACAGGGAACUCUACUCAAUACUCUGUAAUGACCUGUAUGGAAAAAGAAUCUUAAAAAAGAGUGGAUAUAUGUAUAUGUAUAACUGAUUCACUUUGCUGUACAGUA